rnacentral:tRNA from 1 species
UGGGUGCUAGCUCAAUGGAAGAGCACCUGCCUUACAAGCAGGGGGGUUGGUGGUUCGAUUCUUCCAUGCCCUA